CAAUAGCGUAUAUUAAAGUUGUUGCAGUUAAAAAGCUCGUAGUUGGAUUUCUGGUGGGAGCGAUGGGUCCGCCUUUCAUUAGGUGCGCACUCGGUUCGCGUCCGGCCUUUUUCGCGGCGAACGUGCCUGGCAUUAGGUUGUCGGGUUCGGGAGCCGCGUCAUUUACUGUGAAAAAAUCAGGACGUUUCAAGUAGGCUUACGCCGUUGAAUGUACUAGCAUGGAAUAAUAAGAUAGGACUUUGGUGGUCUAUUUUGUUGGUUUGCACACCAAGGUAAUGAUUAAUAGGGAUAGUUGGGGGUAUUCGUAUUCAAUUGUCAGAGGUGAAAUUCUUGGAUUUAUGGAAGACGAACUACUGCGAAAGCAUUUACCAAGGAUGUUUNCAUUAA
rnacentral:rRNA from 1 species